GUCGAGCGGGGAAGAUUGCUUCGGUGAUUGACCUAGCGGCGGACGGGUGAGUAAUACUUAGGAAUCUGCCUAUUAAUGGGGGACAACAUCUCGAAAGGGAUGCUAAUACCGCAUACGCCCUACGGGGGAAAGCAGGGGAUCACUUGUGACCUUGCGUUAAUAGAUGAGCCUAAGUCGGAUUAGCUAGUUGGUGGGGUAAAGGCCUACCAAGGCGACGAUCUGUAGCGGGUCUGAGAGGAUGAUCCGCCACACUGGGACUGAGACACGGCCCAGACUCCUACGGGAGGCAGCAGUGGGGAAUAUUGGACAAUGGGGGGAACCCUGAUCCAGCCAUGCCGCGUGUGUGAAGAAGGCCUUAUGGUUGUAAAGCACUUUAAGCGAGGAGGAGGCUCCUAUAGUUAAUACCUAUAGUGAGUGGACGUUACUCGCAGAAUAAGCACCGGCUAACUCUGUGCCAGCAGCCGCGGUAAUACAGAGGGUGCGAGCGUUAAUCGGAUUUACUGGGCGUAAAGCGUGCGUAGGCGGCUUUUUAAGUCGGAUGUGAAAUCCCCGAGCUUAACUUGGGAAUUGCAUUCGAUACUGGGAAGCUAGAGUAUGGGAGAGGAUGGUAGAAUUCCAGGUGUAGCGGUGAAAUGCGUAGAGAUCUGGAGGAAUACCGAUGGCGAAGGCAGCCAUCUGGCCUAAUACUGACGCUGAGGUACGAAAGCAUGGGGAGCAAACAGGAUUAGAUACCCUGGUAGUCCAUGCCGUAAACGAUGUCUACUAGCCGUUGGGGCCUUUGAGGCUUUAGUGGCGCAGCUAACGCGAUAAGUAGACCGCCUGGGGAGUACGGUCGCAAGACUAAAACUCAAAUGAAUUGACGGGGGCCCGCACAAGCGGUGGAGCAUGUGGUUUAAUUCGAUGCAACGC
rnacentral:rRNA from 1 species